rnacentral:rRNA from 1 species
GAUGAACGCUGGCGGCGUGCCUAAUACAUGCAAGUCGAGCGAACAGAUAAGGAGCUUGCUCCUUUGACGUUAGCGGCGGACGGGUGAGUAACACGUGGGUAACCUACCUAUAAGACUGGAAUAACUCCGGGAAACCGGGGCUAAUGCCGUAUAACAUUUAGAACCGCAUGGUUCUAAAGUGAAAGAUGGUUUUGCUAUCACUUAUAGAUGGACCCGCGCCGUAUUAGCUAGUUGGUAAGGUAACGGCUUACCAAGGCAACGAGACGUAGCCGACCUGAGAGGGUGGUCGGCCACACUGGAACUGAGCCAGGGUCCAGACUCCUGCGGGAGGCAGCAGUAGGGAAUCUUCCGCAAUGGGCGAGAGCCUGACGGAGCAACGCCGCGUGAGUGAUGAAGGUCUUCGGAUCGUAAAACUCUGUUAUUAGGUAAGAACAAAUGUGUAAUUAACUGUGCACGUCUUGACGGUACCUAAUCAGAAAGCCCCGGCUAACUACGUG